AGAGUUUGAUCCUGGCUCAGAACGAACGUUGGCGGCGUGGAUUAGGCAUGCAAGUCGAACGAGAACCUUCCCUGUAGCAAUACAGGGAGGGGGAUAGUGGCGAAAGGGGCAGUAAUGCGUGGGUAACCUACCCUGGGGACCGGGACAUACACGUAAUAGUGGUAAAUACCGGGCAAUGUCGUCGAGGGGCAUCUCUUGGCGACCAGAGAUUUAUCGUCCUGGGAGGGGCUCACGUCGUAUUAGCUAGUUGGCGGGGUAACGGCCCACCAAGGCAAAGAUGCGUAGCGGGUGUGAGAGCACGACCCGCGCCACUGGCACUGAGACACUGGCCAGACACCUACGGGUGGCUGCAGUCGAGGAUCUUUGGCAAUGAGCGCAAGCUUGACCAAGCGACGCCGCGUGUGCGAUGAAGGCCUUCGGGUUGUAAAGCACUGUCGAGGGGGAUCAAGGGAAACUUGAGUGAUCCCUGGAGGAAGCACGGGCUAAGUUCGUGCCAGCAGCCGCGGUAAGACGAACCGUGCGAACGUUGUUCGGAAUCACUGGGCUUAAAGGGCGCGUAGGCGGCUUGCCAAGUCAGGGGUGAAAUCUUUCGGCUCAACCGGAAAAGUGCCCUUGAUACUGGCGAGCUCGAGGGAGGUAGGGGUGUGUGGAACUGAUGGUGGAGCGGUGAAAUGCGUUGAUAUCAUCAGGAACGCCGGUGGCGAAAGCGACGCACUGGACCUCUUCUGACGCUGAGGCGCGAAAGCUAGGGGAGCAAACGGGAUUAGAUACCCCGGUAGUCC
rnacentral:rRNA from 1 species